rnacentral:lncRNA from 1 species
CUUGAUUCCUUCAACAUUGUCCUGGAUUGAAGCAAAUUCUUCUUGGAACGCUAGCACAGCAUUUGUUGAGAAGUGGUAUUAUGCACUAUAAUGUACAGACCAUGGACGUAAAGGACUUGCCUUUUCAUGUCAAAUAAUGAAAAUUCGAUAUAUAACAUGCGACGGAAAGCAAAACCGGAACAAGUUAGAUCGCCCUCUUCCUCAGAACAUCCAUUCUUUCCGAUACUUCCUCUGCAAUCGUCUCGAGCUUUGGUGCAUUAGAAGGUUUUUUAGGAGAAAUCAUAGGAGAUGGUGCAACCUCAACCCAAUGGUUCACGUACCUUAUUGGUUUUCCCAUAAUCACCUCUGACACACACAAAAAAAAAAAAAAAUAAAAUAAAAUAAAAAAUUUGCUUUUUCUUGGCCUAGUUUUUCUUCCUUGAGAGGCCUUUGAGAGAGAUUUCU